UAGGAUAUUAGGAACCCAUAGAUGAUGCUCGAGAGUUAAAACCCCCCUACGCAUAAGAACCCCAGUUUGCAAGGACGCGAGGAUUAAGCAUAAAAUCUCUGUGGUGCAGCCUGCGGCUUCGUUACUCACGGCAGGUAGCCAUGAAUUUAUGAAUGCAGCUAAGAUAGCAUCGAUCUCUGGUUUCUCAGCCAUGAUAGACAUGGUGCGAAGUAUAAGAAGAGGAGUACGUGGAUCGGAGGGGGGUUGGCUUUAGGGGGAUUUUAGUGCACAGGCCAGUUAUACAAGAUGAGCCAUCUCCACCACAAAAUGUAUCGACGCUAAGAGACGAAUCUGACUCCUCAUCGGAUUACUCAACCCAACCAGCCGAUGUGGUAUUUGAAACUAAGUUCCCAAAGCAACAUGAUUGUACAGCUGUGAGUAAGAAACAAGGUUGGGGGCGGGCAAAUAUGACAAAAUUUGACAUGCUUUGGAAGAUUGGACCGAUUUCAUUACUGAUCAAGGAUCGGGACAGUAAGGUGUCAUACCAGAAUGCAAGCAUUUUUAGUGGAAGGGUCACCUGGAUCGUCAAGCAUUAAGCUAACAUGGGUUACCGACGUUGGAAUGAUAUGCCAGAAGCUGAACAAGAGUUGUGUUCUCGCGUCCAAGCUGACUUUAUCAUGCAAUGGAAAAAACAAAACCAUCAUAAGGCGGUUACCGAGCAACUACAUAGGAGGCUCAAUUCUUUCCACUACGAGUUACACUAAAUCUACCUCGGCUACGGAAGUCAUAAAGUUGUUGUUGCAAGAGGGACCGAGAUGGCAGAUGAAGCAGUUUGGAGGAAAUUGUGCAUGUGCUAGGGUAGCAAGGAGUUCAAGGUAAAAUCGUUAGGUUGGGCUAGAAUGAAGUUGUUUAAUGCUAGUUGCUAAGUUCUGAAAAUUUCCAUAUAUUCAAUGUUUCAAAUAUGUGAUGUUUUUGAAUUAUAUUUGUCCAAUAAAAUUAAGGUUCAACUGUUUUGCAUGUCUAUUCUGGACCAACCCUUGUCAUUGCAAAACAAGGUGAAUAGGGCACUACAGCGAUACAACCAUACUGCUGGCAGGAAGUCCUUUGUUCAAAUACUUGAAGAGCAGGUAAAGAGAUUUUUGGUUAUGUCUUUGAGUCCUAAAUUCAGCAUUAUAUUAGAAGCUGUCGGACAAGUAUGGCACCCGUGAAAGUUGGUCAAUGAAAUUGAUAUAUUAAUUGGAUGUUUCAGCUUGAUGUUGUUACUAAUCUAGUGGAUUUUUUUAAAGAGACUCACUAGUCAAAGAAGAAAAAUGGGUUUGUGACCAACAUUAUUGAAGAGCUGUAUGUGAGUUACAUGUGCUGCUCUCAGGGGAAGUACAAAGUUUUUUUAGUUGUAAUUAACUUAAUAUUGAUUACCUAUGCCUGACAAUGUUUUGUUAUAAUCUAUUGACUAAAACUGAACAUAUUAUUAAUCAUAUUAUUUUGGAAGGACAUAAUGGUAGAAAAGCUUAAUGAACUGGAACCGGAAGAGCGAGCUAAGGACGCAGCACCUGCAGUGUUCAGGGAGGUUCUAGGGAGAAGAUUAGGCUAUGAAAAGGAUUUGGGCAAGAAGGUGAUGCCCGUAACAUCAGGAACGGCGAGUAAUCCCAAAAAUGGAGGUGUAUUGUCAAAGGAUGCACUGUUUUACAAGGCUCAAUUUGAGGCACUAAAGGCAAAUGUUCAGGAAAUAUUGGUAAAGCAAGCGGAGUUUGACAAAGUUAUUAUGGCAUACUCAAUGUCACAGCAGCUGCCCCAGGGAGAGUCUCCGAGGGAGACACCUGGAGCUGUCUAACUUUGGUAGACAACACUUUUUGGGAUAUUUUGACUUUCGAUAGGCAACAGGAUAAAGUACUAAUGGGUGGUUGUCUGUGGUAAUUUUAUGAGUGGCUUCUCUAUCUAAGCUGGUUGGGUGGUUGGCCAUAUCAAGUAUAAUUAUGAGAGAUUCUAUUUAUUAGCACUGCUGAGGAGUUAAAAUAUACGCACUUGUAAGCCAUAGACCAAAGGGAUUGUGCACUAAGUAUUUCUUAGCAACAUCCACAUUUGAAAAGAUAUUACUCAUGCGCAAUGGCUUCUAUGAGAUGCUUUUGUAGCCAUGGAGCACUCAAGAGGGACAACUUGUAGCAUAUUGCAUGUACUACAUGGAUAUAGUUGUGAAGUGUACUGUUGUGGGGGCAACAACUUUUGAAACAGGGAUCAUUGAAAAACUCCACAGUGACAUGGAUGGAUUUAUUUGCAAUUUAGCUUAAUACUCUGGGCUGCUUCAUUCUAUGCCAUUUGUAAACUCUCCUAUAAUUGGGGGAUAUAGUAAUGGGUAGGCGUGAAUAUAUUUUAGUUAAUAUAUUGGCCUUUACUCAGCUUUAUUUGACUUGAGGUGAAGUAUCUUCUUCUGUAAAUUGUAGUGGUUUAAUGAUAUAUAGAUAGGUGAUGCUUAUUUGCAUGUAAAUAGUUUGAUACUUGUAGUAUGAAUUGAGAGCAUUGGGCUAGGUUAGGAAACUGCUGGUGUGAUGUUCUUUUUCUUUUAAUCAGCAAUUUGUUUCCAAUGAACGAUUCUGGGAUUUAGUAAUGAAAUUUCAUAUAUUUCAUGUAUAUGAUAAGUAGAAUGAACAUACCUUUGAAUGUUCUUAGGUGCAGAGCUAUGUCCACUACAUGAACAAUAAUGCGGUAUUGAUUAGUUUUCACAUAGACAUGGGGUUAAAUGAGCCAUUCGAAGUUUAUUUAACAAGCUGAGAGCUGAUAGGCGCUGCUGUUGAUGAAAACAUGGAAGCAGAAAAAUGUAUAUUACAUUGCCAGCAGAUGGGUCAUUGCUAAAGAGAUGGGAUCUAUAGGUGCUGUGCCAAUUUCUCACCAUGCUUCCAAGAUAGAGAGGACAAACAUGUUGUCUGCCACAUGACUAUAGAAUAUAUUAAUAUUGCCUUGUAUUAAAUGUGCAAAUGAUCAUUGCUUGAGUUUCAUAACAUGUUGAACUUAUUUAACAGUACCCGAUGGACUUGUAUUUGUAGAUAUAUAGUGAUUGGUACAUCACUCACUUGGAUGACGAAAUACACUUCUCAAAAAGGGAGGUAAUUUCUGUGCAUGAAUAGAUGGUUGGCCUCCAAAUGAAAUAUUGAUGUAUAUUUUUAGUUGAAAUUGAAUCUGUUUCAAUUUUACAA